GACGAACGCUGGCGGCGUGCCUAAUACAUGCCAGUUGAGCGCUGAAGGUUGGUACUUGUACCAACUGGAUGAGCAGCGAACGGGUGAGUAACGCGUGGGGAAUCUGCCUUUGAGCGGGGGACAACAUUUGGAAACGAAUGCUAAUACCGCAUAAAAACUUUAAACACAAGUUUUAAGUUUGAAAGAUGCAAUUGCAUCACUCAAAGAUGAUCCCGCGUUGUAUUAGCUAGUUGGUGAGGUAAAGGCUCACCAAGGCGAUGAUACAUAGCCGACCUGAGAGGGUGAUCGGCAACAUUGGGACUGAGACACGGCCCAAACUCCUACGGGAGGCAGCAGUAGGGAAUCUUCGGCAAUGGACGAAAGUCUGACCGAGCAACGCCGCGUGAGUGAAGAAGGUUUUCGGAUCGUAAAACUCUGUUGGUAGAGAAGAACGUUGGUGAGAGUGGAAAGCUCAUCAAGUGACGGUAACUACCCAGAAAGGGACGGCUAACUACGUG
rnacentral:rRNA from 1 species